rnacentral:tRNA from 1 species
GACCCGGUAGCUCAGCAGGAUAGAGCUGCGGCUUCCUAAGCCGUCGGUCGGGGGUUCGAAUCCCUUCCGGGUCG